CCAACGGCCUUUUUAAAAGGCCACCAAUUUACAAAGAGCUCAAAUAU
rfam:Orchesella cincta Ocin01_Sc0611, whole genome shotgun sequence.